rnacentral:rRNA from 1 species
GGAUUAGAUACCCUGGUAGUCCAUGCCGUAAACGUUGGGAACUAGGUGUGGGUCUCAUUCCACGAGAUCCGUGCCGCAGCUGACGCAUUAAGUUCCCCGCCUGGGGAGUACGGCCGCAAGGCUAAAACUCAAAGGAAUUGACGGGGGCCCGCACAAGCGGCGGAGCAUGCGGAUUAAUUCGAUGCAGCGCGAAGAACCUUACCAAGGCUUGACAUACACCGGAAACAUCCAGAGAUGGGUGCCCCGCAAGGUCGGUGUACAGGUGGUGCAUGGUUGUCGUCAGCUCGUGUCGUGAGAUGUUGGGUUAAGUCCCGCAACGAGCGCAACCCUCGUUCUAUGUUGCCAGCGCGUGAUGGCGGGGACUCAUAGGAGACUGCCGGGGUCAACUCGGAGGAAGGUGGGGAUGACGUCAAAUCAUCAUGCCCCUUAUGUCUUGGGCUUCACGCAUGCUACAAUGGCCGGUACAAAGGGCUGCGAUACCGUAAGGUGGAGCGAAUCCCAAAAAGCCGGUCUCGGUUCGGAUUGAGGUCUGCAACUCGACCUCAUGAAGUCGGAGUCGCUAGUAAUCGCAGAUCAGCAACGCUGCGGUGAAUACGUUCCCGGGCCUUGUACACACCGCCCGUCAAGUCAUGAAAGUCGGUAACACCCGAAGCCGGUGGCCUAACCCUUGUGGAAGGAGCCGUCGAAGGUGGGAUCGGUAAUUAGGACUAAGUCGUAACAAGGUAGCCGUAA